rnacentral:rRNA from 1 species
GAUGAACGCUGGCGGUAUGCCUAACACAUGCAAGUCGAACGGGCUUUUCGGAGCUAGUGGCGGACGGGUGAGUAACGCGUGAGAAUCUGCCUUCAGGAUGGGGAUAACAGGGAGAAAUCGCUGCUAAAACCCAAUGUGCCGAAAGGUGAAAUACUUGUAGCCAGAAGAGGAGCUCGCGUCCGACUAGUUAGUUGGUGGGGUAAGAGCCUACCAAGGCAGCGAUCGGUAGCUGGUCUGAGAGGAUGAGCAGCCACACUGGGACGGAGACACGGCCCAGACUCCUACGGGAGGCAGCAGUGGGGAAUUUUCCGCAAUGGGCGAAAGCCUGACGGAGCAAUACCGCGUGAGGGAGGAAGGCUUUUGGGUUGUAAACCUCUUUUGUUAAGGAAGAAGAAAGUGACGGUACUUAAAGAAUAAGCAUCGGCUAACUCCGUGCCAGCAGCCGCCGUAA